rnacentral:rRNA from 1 species
UGGGGAAUAUUGGACAAUGGGCGCAAGCCUGAUCCAGCCAUGCCGCGUGGGUGAAGAAGGCCUUCGGGUUGUAAAGCCCUUUUGGCGGGGACGAUGAUGACGGUACCCGCAGAAUAAGCCCCGGCUAACUUCGUGCCAGCAGCCGCGGUAAGACGAAGGGGGCAAGCGUUGUUCGGAAUUACUGGGCGUAAAGGGCGCGUAGGCGGCCUGAUAAGUCAGACGUGAAAGGCCUGGGCUCAACCUGGGAAUUGCGUUUGGGACUGUUGGGCUGGAGAGCGGGAGAGGAUGGUGGAAUUCCCAGUGUAGAGGUGAAAUUCGUAGAUAUUGGGAAGAACACCGGUGGCGAAGGCGGCCAUCUGGACCGUAUCUGACGCUGAGGCGCGAAAGCGUGGGGAGCAAACAGGAUUAGAUACCCCGGUAGUCC